UUGGCGGACGGGUGAGUAACGCGUGGGGAACCGUGCCCUGUACAGGGGGAGUAACACUUAGAAAUAGGUGCUAAUACCGCAUAAGCGCACAGUAUCGCAUGAUACAGUGUGAAAAACUCCGGUGGUACAGGAUGGACCCGCGUCUGAUUAGCUGGUUGGCGGGGUAACGGCCCACCAAGGCGACGAUCAGUAGCCGGCCUGAGAGGGUGAACGGCCACAUUGGGACUGAGACACGGCCCAAACUCCUACGGGAGGCAGCAG
rnacentral:rRNA from 1 species